rnacentral:misc_RNA from 1 species
UUUGUAUUCGGCGCGUGCCGUGUGACGGCUAGUGACGAGCCGCGGGGCGGCGGAGCUGCACGGCCGGGGGCCGCCCGGUCGGUGCCCAUUAGACCUGUGGCGUCUGGCAGAGGGUGGGAGUGGUGGCUGGCGUUGGAGAUUGGUGGAAUCAGUGACUGAUGCGAUCAGGCGGCUCUGACAGACUUUACUGAAGAGUGCUACGAUUGGCCAACACAACAUGGGCUGAGGUGUACCAGACUUAGCGACAACUUGGUUGGACCGGCUCCAAACCUUGGAAGGACCACUUCGACCGACCGGUAGCUGCGUCUUCUUUCAGCCGGUUUGAAGAUUGGUGCCAUCAUUUGCAGUGUCACCGAAGCGCAUCCGGGACUGAUCACGAUACUCGACGGAGACGUAACCCGUUGCCAUGGCGACCAGAAUCGGUUACCACGCGGCGUUCUCGACUAGUGAAGAUCAUGAGCACCCGGCUAAGGAACUGGACCAGCAGGGCCCGCACACCAGGGGAUGGAAGUCGCGCCAGUUCUGCAUCUAUCCGCAGGAGCUGGCAUUCAAACUGGCCAGCCGCACACAUGUCAGCAAGAUACAGGUGCUUCUACAUCAGCUGCUCAUUCCCGAGAAAAUCGAGUUCCACAUUGGAGACGUGGAGCGAGGCAAGGAUGAGAGCUAUGCCAACGCCAAGUUUACACCACUAGGCAGCGUCACGCCGUCUACCAAUGAAGAGUCGGGACACAAAGCCAGAGAGGUCACGGCUGUGAAUGUCGACUGCGAGGGUCUCUUCGUCAAACUGGUCAUUUAUAAAAAUCACCUAAACAAGAGCAAUAGAUUUAACCAGGUGAGUAUAAUGGGAAUUAACUUCCUCGGCGAAGAAAAAGAAACUAACAACAACACGGUCGCGAAGGAGACCUCUGGUGCAUCUGAUCCCAGUCUACCGAACUACGAGGAUUUGACGUUCAACAUGUACGUUGACCACGACUGCGUCAAGUACAUGCAGAAGCUGGAUGCACGGAAGGCAGUUGCAGCAAGAAAUGAACGAUUCGAGUAUGCCAAGAACUGCCGAGACGCGGUGGGCCUGCUUCAUAAAGCCGGACUACGUCUUGGAAAGUACCACAUCGAAAAGCGAAUGGCCAUCGAAGAGGAAAGCUACGACAAGGCUAAAUUGAAGAAGGACCACGCCGAGGAGUAUAAAGAGGCGGUGAUGGAGGCGCUGAGGGUCGACCAGCUUCUGGAAUCAGACGGGGUGGAUCCAAAGAACAACAAGACUCUGAACCUGGAGCUUCCGCCGCCGCCGGGGAAGAAGAAGCGACCUCCGACGCCGCCCCCCGAGCCGUCACCGCCGCCCCGACCCAAGUCCGACCCACUGCCGCCCAUCCCUCGCACCCCCGACCACCGCCAGAACUCGUCACAGUCCACCAAGAAACCGAUGACGCCGCCUCCGCCGAUUGUCAGCCCUCCGGCCCCGGCUCCUGCUCCCGCCCCGGCUCCGGCUCCACCUCCUGCUCCGGCCCCUGUACCCGCCCCGGCACCCAUCCCCUCCCCACGGGGCCGGUCCCCUCCCCCGGCCCCCAGCUACCAGCCAGCCCCCGUCGCACCUUCACCGCUGCCGCCCCCUCGAAUCCGCUCACCGCGGCUCUACCAGGAGCCUAUAUCCAGACGUAAGCUGAUGGCCGGUUUGAUGGUGGGUGACGUGGGUGGCUCCAACCCGCGUCAGAUGUCCUCAAUUCUGACCGAUGCCGACCGUAAGGCCGCCGCCCUUCCUAUCGAGGUCUUCGGAGAACCAAUGGUGGAAAGUUUCUACUCGAAGAGUUUCAUUCAGAAGGAGGAGGGUUUCCGUAACCUGAUGACCAGCCUCCGAACUGAGGACGACAUCCGGGCGGAUAAGAAGACGCGCGCAGCCACUUUCCUCCUGGUGCGCGGACUGAAGGACAAGAUGUACACCGUCUGCCAGCAGGCGGUCGAGGCGCUGGCUUAUCUCACCGGCCCGUUCGCUAACAAACACAGGACCUCCAAACGCGAGCUGAGCAACACGCUGGAAGCCACAGUGCCUGAGCUGAUUCAGAAGCUGGGUGAAAACGCCACGCGCGUGCAGGCACUGGCCUCUGAGAGUCUGCUGCAACUGGCCAACACGGCGGCAGGCCGCGGUCUGCCGGCCGUCUGUGACGCCCUCGCUGUCCCGCUCCGGGGGUCCGAGUAUGCCCGGCUGGCCCUGGCCAGAAUCGACACGCUGGAGAGGAUUGUCGUCAAACAUGGUGUCAGCGAGUCGGGUCCACAUUUUUCGAGUCACGUAGCCGAGUUCGCCAUCUCCGCGUUGGACCAGCCCAGCGACCAGGUGCGGGCGGCCGGCUCACGACUGCUCGUGCUCAUCUACCCGGAGCACAAGAGGCUGGUGCGCAGCAUGCUGCCAUCUAGCGGCCAGGUUAAGAACUCGAGCUACCGCUCUCUGCUGGCAGAGCUCGACCGUAUUGACGGAAAGCGAGGCGUGCCGUCUCUGCGACUCGACUCGCCCGCUGAGCUCCGCGCUGUGCCCGAGGACGACGAGGAAGAGUAUGAGGAGGAGGAGGACGAGGACAGUGAGGAGGAGGACCAGUACCAGCGUGCGCUCAGGGCAGAGGCCGAGCAGGAGCAGAGGGAACAGGAGCAGGAGAGACAACAGGAGCGGCACCAGGAGCAGGAGAAACCCCGGCCGCUGGCAGCAGAGAACCCCACUCUCAGCCGAUCGUUGCGCUCCAAAACGAUGGGAGCCAUGCUUGGACAUACAUCGUCUGAGGAGAAUGGCAGCACGUGCGUGUUUUGCGGUGCCACCGACGACCGAUUCGAGACGGAGGAGGGCAUGGAAUACCACUUCUGGAAGAGCUGUCCGCUGCUCACCCGCUGCAAGGAUUGCAAACAGGCCGUGGAGGUGUCCGAGUACACCGAGCACAAACUCCGUGACUGUAGGGAGCACAAGAACUACCGGUGCUGCAAACGAUGUCAGGAGGCGAUUCCGAAGGGCGACUACGACUACCACGUCCGGUCCUACCAAUGUAUCCCGGCCAAGACGGGUCCGGCGGGCAACCACUGUCCGCUGUGCCACCAGAACACGGCGCCGUACGAGGAUGGCUUCCGACAACACCUGAUGGAGGACUGUAAGGCCAACUGCAGGAACCCGCACGGACUGGCGAGGGCCGGCCGGACGUCGACCACUACCCCGCCCGGUCCGGCUAGCCGCGGUUCGACCACUACCCCUCCGGGCACCACGGGCAGCCGCGCGGGCCGAUCGCGCGGCGGUCGUAUCCAGACGGAGCUCCACUCCCGGCGGCGUGGGUCACUGACCGACCAGCUAGCUCCGACCCCACAGCCGCCGCCGGCACCGCGGCGUUCCCACUCUGACCUGGGUCCGCGCCGCAGGACCCCGCCCGGGACCCAGCAGGGAUCCACCGGACGGACCCCGCCCGCGGCACGGGACAGGAAACCAGGAGGAACCGACAGCAGGGGGAAGAGGACCCCUCCACAGGGACGCCAGAAUAGAACUCCACCAGGGAGACAGAACAAGACUCCUCCGGGGUCACGGCAAAAUAAAACCACGCCCGGCACACGACAAGGGAAGACCCCUACGAGAGGUCAACAGUCGCGUACACCACCGACAACCAAAACUCCAGCCAAGCGGGCAUUGCCGGGGAAGAUUCAAUCCACCCGUACCCCUCCCGGAGGUCGGCAGCCCACCAGAACCCCUCCUAAGAAGAGCACCACACCACCGAGCCGCGAGCGGGGCCGGCAGGCGACCAAACAGACCCCGAAAGGAGGAGGGAGGAGGCAGCAGUCGGUGCCAGCGACGGUGGGUCGGGGGAGAGACGACAGGAAGGGACAGACGGGGGCCUCCAGAGGGAGGGAAACCAAGAACGGGCAGGGGAAGAGCAGGAUGGAUGUGCCGCAAGACCGACGGGCACGUAGUCAAUCCGUCAGCCGGAUCCCAACCAAAUCAUGGCGGUAGGCGUGUAAGGUGAUCACCCAAUCACCACUACGAGCAAAUAAUAGUCCGAGAAUAUCUACUGAGCUUGGAAAUAUGAUCAUAAUCAUCCGGCAAUAGCAGAAGACAAUCACUUCUGAGUUCUGACACGCGCUGGCGUCUCGAGGUAGAAUUUGACCUGUGUGAUGUGAUGUGUACUUCUACCGUUCUCUUCAUGUCGAUACUAUACUAAUGGUGCCGAGCUCGCGCCCAAGCGAGCUGCGUCAACGGUGACCGUCAAUGUGCAAUACGCUAUGAUCUGUCUGACAAUAUCCGAUUUUACUUACAGAACGAUAAGUUCUGAAGCCAUAUAUCAAAGAAUUUCAGACAGGUUCUGUGUGGCAAGCAGCAGCUUCACGCGUGAACUGUAAGAGGAAACUGCAGCAUGUAGUUUAGUGAAUUCAGUAUUGAAAAUGCAAUUAUAAUUCAACUAUCAACCACAAAA